rnacentral:tRNA from 1 species
AGGGCAGUGGCCGGUAGGGCGUAUGGCCGAUCGCUACGGCCGGUUGCUGGUGCUGCGCGUGCAGGUAUUUAUUGUGAUCCUCGGCUCGAUUGCCAUGC